rnacentral:tRNA from 2 species
CAGAGAGUAGUUUAAAGAGAAUUUCAGCUUUGGGUGCUGAUGGUGGGGUGUAGGCCUCUUCUCUGA